rnacentral:rRNA from 1 species
UAACCUACCUCAUAGUGGGGGAUAACAGUCGGAAACGACUGCUAAUACCGCAUAGGACAUGGAAUCACAUGAUUCUGUGAGGAAAGGUGGCGCAAGCUAUCGCUAAGAGAUGGACCCGCGGUGCAUUAGCUAGUUGGUAGGGUAACGGCCUACCAAGGCGAUGAUGCAUAGCCGACCUGAGAGGGUGAUCGGCCACAUUGGGACUGAGACACGGCCCAA